rnacentral:rRNA from 1 species
GACAGAGGGUGCAAACGUUGUUCGGAAUUACUGGGCGUAAAGCGCGUGUAGGCGGCCCUGCAAGUCGGAUGUGAAAUCCCACGGCUCAACCGUGGAAGUGCAUUCGAAACUGCAGGGCUAGAGUCCUGGAGAGGAAGGUGGAAUGCUUGGUGUAGAGGUGAAAUUCGUAGAUAUUGGGAAGAACACCGGUGGCGAAGGCGGCGCUCUGGACCGAGACUGACGCUGAGGCACGAAGGUCAGGGGAGCAAACGGG